rnacentral:lncRNA from 1 species
UUAGAAACUAAUGGUCUUUUCUUUGCUCAAAAUUGGAUUCUUUUCUUCACUUCAUUCUUGUUCUCUGAUGGAAGAUAUAACUAAGAACAGAAAACAGAAUUCUGUAUUAAGAUUAAGAAAAAUUGCUGAAUCGCAUGUUUUACUGCAUCUAAGAUUACUUUGAAGACAAUAACAUAAUUGAGCAUAGUACUAUCAACCAGUAACUGGCAGCCUCCGAGGAGGACUGUGGAAAAUCACAGAGGAAGAUUUUGUGCAGUAAACAUUGAUGUUAGUGAAGGAGAGUGCUACCAAAAUAUGUUUUUUCGUUUUCUUUGCCGCUAAAGCUAUCGACCAACAAAAUCAUGAUUUGUUGUCUUCUUCGUAUUUGUCCUUUGGUAUGGAGGAACUGCGAAGGUCAUUAGUGCUUAAGGCAGAGGGUAACAGGCUUCAAUCAUCAUGCUGGCACUUUCAUCAGACUGUCACUGAGGGACUGAAUUAAAAGAGUAUAAACAAAGAACAAAAGACACAAAUAUGCAAAAGUUACUAUUCACCACUAAAAUUCAUGAAGAAAGAUGGAUAUGAUGGAGUU